UACGGGGGGGGGCAAGCGUUGUUCGGAAUUACUGGGCGUAAAGGGCUCGUAGGCGGCCAACUAAGUCAGACGUGAAAUCCCCCGGCUUAACCUGGGAACUGCGUCUGAUACUGGAAGGCUUGAGGAUGGGAGAGGGAUGUAGAAUUCCAGGUGUAGCGGUGAAAUGCGUAGAUAUCUGGAGGAAUACCGGUGGCGAAGGCGGCCAUCCUGGACCAUUACUGACGCUGAGGCGCGAAAGCUAGGGGAGCAAACGGG
rnacentral:rRNA from 1 species